rnacentral:rRNA from 1 species
UACGUAGGGCGCAAGCGUUGUCCGGAAUUAUUGGGCGUAAAGAGCUCGUAGGCGGCUUGUCACGUCGGGUGUGAAAGCCCGGGGCUUAACCCCGGGUCUGCAUUCGAUACGGGCUAGCUAGAGUGUGGUAGGGGAGAGCGGAAUUCCUGGUGUAGCGGUGAAAUGCGCAGAUAUCAGGAGGAACACCGGUGGCGAAGGCGGAUCCCUGGGCCAUUACUGACGCUGAGGAGCGAAAGCGUGGGGAGCGAACAGG